UACAGAGGGGGCAAGCGUUGUUCGGAAUUACUGGGCGUAAAGGGCGCGUAGGCGGCCUUCUAAGUCGAACGUGAAAUCCCCGGGCUCAACCCGGGAACUGCGUCCGAUACUGGAAGGCUUGAAUCCGGGAGAGGGAUGUGGAAUUCCAGGUGUAGCGGUGAAAUGCGUAGAUAUCUGGAGGAACACCGGUGGCGAAGGCGGGUCUCUGGGCCGAUACUGACGCUGAGGAGCGAAAGCGUGGGGAGCGAACAGG
rnacentral:rRNA from 1 species